GUAAAGGUCAUAUGGGGAUUUUACCAGUGGAUGAAGACCCUCAGGUGUCCCUUAAUUUGUGCAUUAUUUUCAGACACGAGCGUCUAUAGUAACAUACAUGUCCACAAAACAACGAAUUUCAUCUUCUGGAAGCCAGUACUUAUCAAAUGUGCACAACAUAGACAGGAAACGGCAGUUUAUGUUUCUGUCUUCAAAGCGUGAAAACAAAACUUAAUGUAUUUUCAUUGGAGAUGAAAAUCAACUGUGACAAUUAACAAUUACGAUCGUGCACAAUUACUAUAAUUGCAAAGGCAUGAAAUGGUUUUCCGUGGGUGCAGUUAUGGUAAGGAAAUUUCACCAACAAAAUCGACAUCCUGUACGCAGUGUCAUGUAAUUGUAUAUCUAAAUCAUCUGAAUACAGUCACAUGUAUAUAUAAAAAUAACUGCUAAAUUUGGGAUAGGAAUUUUAGUUUAAAAAGGUACGGUCCAAAGGGAAUUCGUCACACAAGCUAUUGCAUUCGGGCGAAAUAGAAAUAGUCGUUAGAACUAUAGAAAUAGCCUUUAGAACUACAAAGUUCAAUUACAAAGUAAAUAAAUUACAUUUGUGCGAUUUAAAAAAAUAUUUAUGAGCUAUAAUUCUUGAAAAAAAUGAAGAUCAACACAGCCGUAGGAAUUUUAUGGAUGGUUUCAAUGUUAGUCAUAAACAGAUCCGAUGGGGUGUGCUUAGGAUGGACUGGAAGGUGUUACUCCGGACAUAGGUCAUGCCAAGGAAUAACAUCGGGGUUUAAUUCAUUUGCCCAGAGCUGUUCAAAUCAAUGUUGGACUUUGGGAUAUGUGAACGGAAGGUGCAAACAAGUAGAUGAACCUAGAGCGUAUAACUGUACGUCGAGAUCGAGACACACUUGGAUAUGUAUGUGUACCCAUAGUCGACCGGGAUGGACGCAUAGUUUCUGUCCACAAACUUAGUUAUCAGUUAAUUUAUUGAAAGUUGUCAAAGGACAUGAGCACAUGAGGAAAUACAAGUGUAAGAAACUAAUUUUAAAACUGAAAUCUCAAAACAAACUGGUACAAGACCUUAAAUGACUUGCACAUGUAAGAAAGAGUACUGACAUCUAAAUUUAAAAGUAUUGCUUGAUAAUAAAUUAGAAAUUAAGGGAAUUAUAGUGCAUUGUCGUAUAAAAGAAUUCGAUUCUAUACCGUUGUUAACAUAAGCCUUUUAAAGUUGAUCUUUGAAAAAGUUUUAGGACAGUUUGAAACCAGAGAUAAAUAUUUAACAUUCAAAUGUGAGAAGUAAGUUAAAUGAAUGAUCAAACAAAAUUAUUGAUAAAAGCAUCUUGAAGUUAUGAUUUUGGUCAGCAAAAACGAAUCGUGUACAUGUAUAUUAUUUAAGAAUGUAACGAAUAUUUUGCACUACAUGUUUGUAACAAUUCCGAGUACUGCCAAAUUGCAUCUGUACUAUAGCCAUUUAUUUAUAUUUUCAUACUUUUUAUCUUUUAAUAUUGUUAUUUAUGUUUUAUUUAUUUCUUUUGAAUAAAUAUGUUUAUGUUUUUUCACA